rnacentral:tRNA from 1 species
UCUGAUAUGGCAGAAUAGUGCGGUAGAUUUAAGCUCUACAUAUAAAGGUUACACUUUUAUUAGAA